GAAAACUCCGGUGGUACGGGAUGAGCCCGCGUCCGAUUAGCCAGUUGGCGGGGUAACGGCCCACCAAAGCGACGAUCGGUAGCCGGCCUGAGAGGGUGGACGGCCACAUUGGGACUGAGACACGGCCCAAACUCCUACGGGAGGCAGCAGUGGGGAAUAUUGCACAAUGGGGGAAACCCUGAUGCAGCGACGCCGCGUGAGUGAAGAAGCGCCUCGGCGCGUAAAGCUCUGUCAGCAGGAACGAUAAUGACGGUACCUGAAGAAGAAGCCCCGGCUAACUACGUGCCAGCAGCCGCGGUAAUACGUAGGGGGCAAGCGUUAUCCGGAUUUACUGGGUGUAAAGGGAGCGUAGACGGCGGGGCAAGUCUGGAGUGAAAGGCCGGGGCCCAACCCCGGGACCGCUCUGGAAACUGCCCGGCUGGAGUGCGGGAGAGGUAAGCGGAAUUCCUAGUGUAGCGGUGAAAUGCGUAGAUAUUAGGAGGAACACCAGCGGCGAAGGCGGCUUACUGGACCGUGACUGACGUUGAGGCUCGAAAGCGUGGGGAGCAAACAGGAUUAGAUACCCUGGUAGUCCACGCCGUAAACGGUGAUCACUAGGUGUCGGGGGUUAACGGACCCCCG
rnacentral:rRNA from 1 species